rnacentral:tRNA from 1 species
UGCGGUUCUCGCCCGCGAAGGCGCGGCGCGAUGCUGGGAGCGUCGCGCAGCCGUUCGACGCCGCGGGACCGCAGC